rnacentral:rRNA from 1 species
CAGAAAGACCCUAUGAAGCUUUACUGUAGCUUGAUAUUGGCUCCAAGCUUUGUUUGCGCAGGAUAGGUGGGAGGCAUUGAAAAUUUCCUUGCGGGGAGAUUUGAGCCGUUGGUGAGAUACCACUCUAACAAUGCUAGGAUUCUAACCCUAUACUGCUAUACAGUUAGGGAACAGUUUCAGGUGGUCAGUUUGACUGGGGCGGUCGCCUCCCAAAAGGUAACGGAGGCGUGCAAAGGUUUCCUCAGGCUGGUCGGAAAUCAGUCGUAGAGUGUAAAGGCAUAAGGAAGCCUGAUUGUAAGACUUACAAGUCAAACAAAGACGAAAGUCGGCCUUAGUGAUCCGACGGUUCCGAGUGGAAGGGCCGUCGCUCAACGGAUAAAAGUUACUCUAGGGAUAACAGGCUGA